rnacentral:misc_RNA from 1 species
UAAAAAAAAAUGUGUAGUAUAACUAAAGCCUGCUUUGCAUGGUGUAUUUCACACCUUUGAAAAAGUUUCGCAUACAUUUCAGUACUGGGUUAAAAGGUCGCAGAAUUAAAAUAAAAAAAAUCGGUUGAAAUCUGUUGGUAACUAUUUUAACUAGCUCAGUCACAACAGGAUCUCAAAUCAAUGGAUAUCUUUCAUUCGUUGCUUUUCGUUCGUUUCCUGGCGUUUCCUUUAACCAACAUUUGGCCCAAUUAAAUUCGGUAUUCAAAAAAAGGAGUACGCCUCCCUCCCGCUUCCCUUUGCAGGGGAAACAAAAAAAAUCAGAGGCGCCAGAGAGAGAGCCAGAGGAACAAAAAACCGGAAUAGCCGAAACACAAGAGAGAGCGCGCAAAAGAGUGAGAGAGAAGAGACAAAAAGUACACACAUAAAAAACAUAAACAAGCCUUUUUUCAUAAGGCGAGCAAGCGAGAGAGAAGAACGGCGGAGAGCGACAUCAUUCCACCCUCUCGCUCAGCUGCUUCAGAAAAAACUUGCUUCGGUUGUGAUUUUUUUUCCACUCUCUUUUUCGCCGCCGAACCGAGCAGAGUCCCGUUUUUUGUUGCUCCUGCUUUGCACCGCGUUCGUCUCUUGAUGUAAACAAGCGUAACCGAAGCUUACGCCGCGCCACCCACCGCCUCCUCCAAAACGAUUGUAAUUGCAAUUAAUCGCAGAAGGCGGGUCGCCAAAAAAGUCCGAAAAGCCAAAAAAAAGCCCGAAAUCAUAAAAAAGGGGCAAAAGCACAAGUGCAGAAAAAAGUGACUUGUGCGAGUGUGUGUUGGUGUAUUUUUGGCGUGCGCGGCCAUUUUUUCUUGUUGCCACACGGGAAUCUGUUUUAAGUGUGUUGGUGUAUGUGGAAGAGAAACCAAAAAGAAGAGGAAUAUAAAAAAGCGAAAUUUGCAAACUUAAAACAUAAUAAGUAGAAUCUAUAAAAUACGUAAAAAAGGUGCACGAAUGCGUCUAAUCCAACAAGUCAAAUACCGCAAAAUCGCAAGCAAAUUGUUCCCUAAAAUACCUGUGUGAAAGAUUGGAGGAGUGUGGAGGAACCCACCGUACCUCCCUCUUCUUGCAACAACCACCUACAAUCAGCAGCUGAACACGUGCUCGCGGGCCAAAAUAUCAACAAAAGUUGGCCCACUAAACAUAAAGCAAUAAGAAAACCCAGAACACAAAAGACCUUUUCGAAUUGUCUGUUUCCCGCGCUUGCUGCACAGUGGGCCGGAUGUAAUACGGGGGAAUUCUAGAUAGUUUGAUAUGGAUGGUCAAAUAUUCUCCGGUCCAUGUAAUCCAAUUUCCCCCUGAAAUCCCUUAUAAACCGAAUUGUUCGCUGCUUUAAAUUGCUCACAAAACGAUUAAGUAAAUGCCAUAAUUACCUUAAAGUUAAAAUAAUUUUAUUCCCGCAAAAAUAUUUGUCCCGUCCCUUUUGUCCAUCGUUCCCCCGCCCCUCCCGCUGCCCGAGUUUUUAUGCUCGUUUCCAUUCAUUCGGUGGUGGCGGUUUUUUUGUGUGUGUCGUGUCUUUUUUUAUCUUUUACUUUUUUGUAUUCAUCAAAUAUUUGCUGUUUUUUCGCACACAUGUCGCCCCCAACCAAGGCAGAGAGAGCGAGAGAGCCAGAGAACGUUUUUGUUCGUUUUGCGGUUUGCACGAUGUCCGGCUGGUAGCUCGUUUGUUUAUGUUGCGCUCUUGCUCGCUCUUUUGCGCUUCUCUGGAUCAAGGUGUAUGACUGAGAAGGUAAAGCAGAUGGUUGUCUCUCUGUUCUCCGCCCACAGCAUUACACUCGAAAUCUCCCACUCGAUAAUCUUGUGUAGUAAAACAAACACUUGCUACAUAACCUUCUUCUGAAUAUACCUUGCUCUAGCUCUUCUGC